GAGGGUAGAGCUCAGUGGUAGAGCACGUGCUUAGCAUGCACAGGGUCCUGGGUUCAAUCCCCAGUACCUCUG
rnacentral:tRNA from 1 species